UACGGAGGGUGCAAGCGUUAUCCGGAUUCACUGGGUUUAAAGGGUGCGUAGGAGGGCAGGUAAGUCAGUGGUGAAAUCUCCGAGCUUAACUUGGAAACUGCCGUUGAUACUAUCUGCCUUGAAUAUUGUGGAGGUGAGCGGAAUAUGUCAUGUAGCGGUGAAAUGCUUAGAUAUGACAUAGAACACCAAUCGCGAAGGCAGCUCGCUACACAUAUAUUGACUCUGAGGCACGAAAGCGUGGGGAUCAAACAGG
rnacentral:rRNA from 1 species